AUUGAACGCUAGCGGGAUGCCUUACACAUGCAAGUCGAGCGGAGUGGCGGACGGGUGAGUAAUGUAUCGGAAUCUGCCUGGUAGCGGGGGAUAACUACGCGAAAGCGUAGCUAAUACCGCAUACUAUUGGAGCAGCCUAGAUCGGAUUAGCUAGUUGGUGGGGUAACGGCUUACCAAGGCGACGAUCCGUAGCUGGUUUGAGAGGAGGAACAGCCACACUGGGACUGAGACACGGUCCAGACUCCUACGGGAGGCAGCAGUGGGGAAUAUUGGACAAUGGGCGAAACCCUGAUCCAGCCAUGCCGCGUGUGUGAUGAAGGUCUUCGGAUUGUAAAGCACUUUAAGUAGGGAGGCGUUACCUGCAGAAUAAGCACCGGCUAACUACGUGCCAGUAGCCGCGGUAAUUC
rnacentral:rRNA from 1 species